UGCAAGAUCACCAAGGUUUGCACAAGGGGGUAUCCUACUUUGAGUUCCAUACGCUCAACGACCAAUUGCCGCUGCCUGCGUUCGUGCGACAAGAUGGCUUGCGGUUUCCAACGCACUUGUUCGGUUAUACGAACGGCGGCCACACAGGGAGAGCGCUUUUGUUUGUGGUUUAUAGUUAAUGAGCCAGCGAGUGGUCGGUGUUCGGUAGAUUGCAGCUCCCGAACUGGGGAAACAUGAAUGGUGUUCGGGGAAUAUAAUAUAGGAAAUAGAAAAGAAAUGUCUUGAACAUUGGGAAAAUAGGGAGUUUGUCACAUCGGGUAUUUAGUGUAUCUUUGAGGGGAAGGUUUAAAGAAAUUAAAACCUGUAUGGCAAACUGGU